GUUGGUGGUUAUUGUGUCGGGGGUACGCCCGGUCCCUUUCCGAACCCGGAAGCUAAGCCCGAUUGCGCUGAUGGUACUACACCUGGGAGGGUGUGGGAGAGUAGGUCGCCGCCAACC
rnacentral:rRNA from 1 species